CACUUAACUACAGUGGACUUUUAUGAGAUCCUCCAUGUUUUCUUCCUACCAAGGUCCCUUUCCUUUGUCCCAGGCUUGCUCUUAUAGGCUGGGGUGGUGGAUGUAUGAGAUGGCUGGUUGGUUUUUCCUCCUAAAAUGUUCCCAUCACUCAGGUGUAAAGAAUCAAUAGUUGUCAAACCUUGCAACCUGGGAAGCUGGUAUCAUACGGCAAUAAAAAGGAAAAUAAGGAAACUGAGGCUCAGUGACCAGCUCACCUAACCCAAAACUCAUGGGUUCAUAUUUCCAAAAGUAAGGAGCAGACCUGCACCACGUUGCCCUCACCGUCCUUCUGGCACGAUCCUCUAAUGCUGACCGACAGCCUGAAGCCUGAGACAUAAUCAGGUAUCAUCAGGAAGCAGGUGUGGGCAGUUAUAACAGCCUACUCAGCUGCCUGGCAUCACAACAGAGCCUCAAAGUACAUAAAUUGAUGAGGGCAAGAGUCUCUACAGAAGUGUUCUAAUAAGAAUGUCAAAGUUAUAAUAUCACCAUUUUCGACCCUUAAUGAACUAAUGGAUCAAGGAAUAAUCAUCAAUGUCUACUACCAUAGAAUAUAACAGGCAAAAUCAGACUUUGGGAAGCUCUAUGGCAAUAACUCUUCAAACUGUGACCCACGGACAGGUGCCCAUCCAUCUAUGAACUUUUUGUCACCAGUAUAUGACUAGGCUAUGCAGUUCAUCUGCCAGUUUAAUUGCCACAAAUCUCCAAAAAAUUCACAUAUAUAUAUAUGUAUAUAUAUAUAUAUACAUAUAUAUGAUUUUUUUUUUCAAUUCUGCAAACAGGAAGACCCGCACAGUUCAAACCAGUGUUGUUCAAGAAUCAAAUGGACUCUGCAAAUGAUCUGGCUCCACACAAAUAAAUGGUAUUUUCAUUAUUA